rnacentral:rRNA from 1 species
GCGAGUCGAGCGUCUCUAGCUAUGUUGAGACGCGGCAGACGGCUCAGUAACACGUGGCUAACCUACCCUCAGGACAAGGAUAAACCCGGGAAACUGGGGCUAAUACUUGAUAGGCGAAUAUUCCUGGAAUGGUUCUUCACCUAAAGGGCUUUAGAAACAUGCUUCUAAAGUCGCCUGAGGAUGGGGCCGCGUCCGAUCAGGUUGUUGGUGAGGUAAUGGCUCACCAAGCCUAUAACCGGUACGGGCCGUGAGAGCGGUAGCCCGGAGAUGGGUACUGAGACAAGGACCCAGGCCCUACGGGGCGCAGCAGUCGCGAAAACUCCGCAAUGCACGAAAGUGUGACGGGGCUACCCCGAGUGCCAUCCGCUGAGGAUGGCUUUUCUUUGGUAUAACUAGCCAUGGGAAUAAGGAGAGGGCAAGACUGGUGUCAGCCGCCGCGGUAAUACCAGCUCUCCGAGUUGUAAGGAUGAUUAUUGGGCUUAAAGCGUCCGUAGCCGGCUUGGCAAGUCUCCUGUUAAAUUCAGCGACCUAAUCGUUGACCCGCGGGAGAUACUACUAGGCUAGGAGGCGGGAGAGGUCGACGGUACUCCUGGGGUAGGGGUGAAAUCCUAUAAUCCCGGGAGGACCACCAGUGGCGAAGGCUGUCGACUAGAACGCGCUCGACGGUGAGGGACG